rnacentral:lncRNA from 1 species
GGACUGUAAGUCGCCAGCCCCUGAGAACCACUGCUUUUCUUCCUGAGCUCUUCCCACACGCCCACACUUCCUUCUUCCCUACGAUUGGCUGACUUCUCAUUUGCAUAGCUCUGUCCGUGUGCACGCAGGCCAUCCAGGCUUGCGCUCCUUUUUUAUUACAGCUUGCCCGAUAAUCCUUUUGUAUGAUCACACUGCAUUUGAUUUACUCAUCAAUUUAUCUAUAGGUACCUGACUUCUUCUUUCUCACUUCUGUAAAUACAGCAGGAUGAUAUUCCAUUGUAUGACUAUACCAUGCUCACACAUCCAUCCAUCAGUUAACGGGCACAGAGGCUGCUCCCACUCUCUGGCUACCAUGAAGAGCAGCUAUGAACAUGGAUACGUAAGCAUCUGUGUGAUGGGGUAUCCGUUGGGUAUAUGCCAAGGUUGGCAUAGCUGGGCCAUAUGGUAGACCUAUCAUUUCUAGGCUUUUGAGGAAUCCCCACACUGAUUUCCAUGUAGCUACACCAGUUUAUAGCCCCACCUGUGAAUAAGUACCCCCCUUCCCCCAAAUCUAUACCACCGUUUAUUGACUUUUUUGAAAAUUUUUGAGUUAUCUUUGACUGGGGUUAAAUGAAAUCUCAAAGUGGUAUUAUUUUCAUUUCCCCCCGAUGUGAUUGAUCUUGAAGAUUUUAAAAAUUAUUUCUCGGCAAUUUGUAUUUCUCCUUUUAAAAACCCUCUGCUUAGUUCCACAUUCCAGACUUAAAUUGCAUUGGGUUUUGGCUUUUUGUCUUGUUUUAGUUCUUUGUACAUUUUAGACAUUAACCCCCAGCCGGAUGUAUAGCCGGUAAAGUUUUUUUCUUAUAGGCUGUCUCGUCACUCAUAGAGUGGUGUGUUUUGCUAUAUAGACACUUUUUAGUUCCAUUGAUCCCUUUUUACCAAUUAUUGGUCCUAAUGUCUAUCCUACUGGGGUCCUGUUUGAAGUGGACACUUAAGGGCUCUUUGGCAAGUCAGUUGUGUUGGAAGGCGUUUUACUUGGGCAAACACGUGAAGGAGUGUUUUCCUGAAGUGGAAACCAGUGACAGGCUAAAGUAGACUCAUGAAGGGAUGUCUCACUAAAGCAGACACAGGUGAAAGGAUGCUCUGCUAAAGCAAGCACAUGAAAGGACACGUGAUGAAGGAUUCUUCGCUAAUGACGCGCACGUAUUGGUUCGCCUUACAUUGUAUAGUUGAGCUGCAUUUGUUUGGACUCCAUAACUUCUGGUGGCGUGCUGCAGUUUCUUGCUGCUUCCGUGGUCUUAGGUUGUUUGGCAGAGUGAUGUCAGCUGAGACAGACUCAUGUGCCGAGGAAAGACACAUGGAGGACCCGUGAUGAUUGCUUGGCUUGCUGGUAUAGCUAGCCGUGCAAUGCUUGUUGGUCUCUUGUCUUCACUGAUCUUUGCUUCCCUGAGAGAGGCACAGCUGAGAAUGUCUGGCAUUCCUCUGGGUCCUUCGUGCUAACUUGAGCAGAGGCUGAGGCCUGGCUGUCUCUGCUAGGUUGUCACUGCUGUUGCUAACUGGAUUCUGCUGAGCUGAACUGCUGGUGUUAUCAGUGAAGUGCUUGCAAAGGAUCGAGCUGCUGCCGCCAGAUGACCUGUGAAUUGAACUGCUGAUUUCCAGACAACACAGACUGGAGUUGCUUCAGAGAACCUUUCUAAACAGGACACCUGACGGAAACAACCUAAAGAAUGAAGAAGGGUUUGUUAUUGUUGUUUGCUGUGUGAGAGAGUACGCCGGCUGCUGCUCACAUGAUCCCAGCUGUUAGGAAGUAGAGACAAAAACACUGACUAGAACCAGGGCCAGACUGCUGCCCAGAAGGCCUGCCACCCCAGGGAUCACUUCCUCCCGUGAGGCUCCACCUUCUAAAGGUUCCAAAACCUUCCAAGCCAGCUGCCAGCUGUAACCCGAUGUUCAAACACACGAACCAAAUGGGGGUGUCGAAUGGCCAAACCAAAACACGAUUCAAGUGAAAAACUGAAAGACUACUGUUGUAACCUAGAUAGAAUGGUGCGUGCGUGCGUGCAUGUGUGUGUGUGUGUGUGUGUGUGUGUGUGUGUGUGUGUGCGUGCGUGCGUGUGUGUGUCGGGGGGGGGGUUGGGCCUGAAGAGAAGACAGACACACGUAAAGCAGAAUCAGGUUUGACUAACUGACUGAAUGAAAAGAGACAAGGGAGGGUCUGACCCAAGAUUACACAGCUUGGGAGUGGCAGUGGUAUCACGAAUACGAACAGAGAUGGGAACGAGGAGACGCUCAUGGGUUCUAUUUUUAAUAUAGCAUGGCAGGGUGCUAACAGGGAAUUAGGUAUGAGGAAUGUGACUGGAGAGAGAGAGAGGUCACCUCUGGAGACCGCCGCUUUGGGAACUGUGUGCAUCGAAGUGCUAAUUAAACCCACAGGGCUGAUUGGAAGCUGCCAAACCAGGAAGCCCAGGGAGAGCAGAGUCUGCAUCAGACGCAAGCGGGCCAGGAGAAGAAGCUGGGAAGAAAGACUACCCAGUGCCAGAUGCAUCCCGGGCUGCUGGAUGAAGCAGAUAAAGUGCCCCCUCUACCCAAAACAAAAGCCUUUCACUCACAUAAUUCUCUGCUCUCUAAACUUCUGUUUGUUUCCACUGUAAAAGUUGUUUUCUUUCUAGUCCUUCCGUAGCCUAUUAGCUUUUUCAGUCUCAUAGUCCAGUAAUCUAAACAAACCAGCAUCAAUCAAUAAAAUACUCUACUUUCUUUCUGGGCUCCUGUACCAUGCAACACAUUCUAACACGUUCCAGUUAUGGUUUGGAUGGGGCUAGUCCUCCGAGGGCACUUAUGUAGGGAAGUUUGGUCCCUAAUGUAGCCGUGUUAGGAGCUGUGGUGUUAGCGCACACUUGUCAUCUCGGCAUUCAGAAGGAAGAGGUGGAAUGAUUAGCAGGCAAGCCUUAGAUCUACAGAGGUGAUGCUUACAGGACAUCCUCUCUACCGCAUUUGGUGAUUGUGGGUAAAUUGGGAUCAGGGAGAGCAGCAGCAGCAAGCACCUUGCAUCUUCUGAGUUGUCUUGUCUCUCUGGAGCGAGUAGAAGCUGUUAAAGCUCCCAGCCCUUGAGCACCAGUUGGCACUGUGGUUUCUUCAGUCAGAGGGCAGCAGGUAUGGGCUCUGCAGUGCUUCCUUGCUCGAAUCGCAGGUCACCUUUGGGUCCCAGAUCCCACGGGUCACUCUCUUAAAACUACGAUUCUUAAAAAGAACUUUUGGAUCACUUUUUUCCUUUUAACAAUGUCUGUAGCUGCAAACAUGGCUUUUUUUUUCAAGCAAACAAGCAGCAGAAAGGACAAAUUUAUUCAUUGCAGUCUAACGUUGAAGAAAUUUGCUGAGACAUUUUGUUGUUUUUUUAAAAAACAUCUUAAUUGGCUUGGCUUUCAGUCCCCGAAUUACACAACACUGAAUUCUGUAUCAGAAUAAGAGCUGAGUGGUUUUAUAGAUAAAAAGGGGGUCGAUUAAUCAGAAACAAGAGAGUAGGAACAUUGAGGCUGCUUUGAGUAAGUUGAUCAGAUUUUUAUCUUGAUGUCCUCCUUUGUUCACGUCCCUCUCCUCCACCUUGUGUCUCUUUCUCAUUGACUGUAAAAUACAGCCACCGUGCUCAUGAACAUGCAUGAGCACAUCUAUGUCUGUGCUGACUGCUGGCAAGUCUGGAGGAAGAGUCAGCAUUAUAACGGAAGGGCCUCCGGAUAGUGUCCGCUUACAGGUGAAAUACCAUUUCAAAGCCUGUAGACUGUAGACUCUGUUCUGAUUUGGAUAGGAGUAUUUAGUGUUGGAUGUUACCAAAACCAUAUUGGGAGGACUGGGAGACAUUAGGAGGCGGGUCUAGG